rnacentral:rRNA from 1 species
AUUGAACGCUGGCGGCAUGCCUUACACAUGCAAGUCGAACGGCAGCGCGGGAGCAAUCCUGGCGGCGAGUGGCGAACGGGUGAGUAACAUAUCGGAACGUGCCCUGGAGUGGGGGAGUAACUAGUCGAAAGAUUAGCUAAUACCGCAUACGCUCUGUGGAGGAAAGUGGGGGAGUCGCAAGACCUCAUGCUCGUGGAGCGGCCGAUAUCUGAUAGCUAGUUGGUAGGGUAAAAGACCUACCAAGCGACGAUCAGUAGCUGGUCUGAGAGGACGACCAGCCACACUGGGACUGAGACACGGCCCAGACUCCUACGGGAGGCAGCAGUGGGGAAUUUUGGACAAUGGGGCAACCCUGAUCCAGCAAUGCCGCGUGAGUGAAGAAGGCCUUC